CCCAUUGAUUAAUAAUAUUAAAAGGCUGCGGUAUUUUAACUGUACGAAGGUAGCAUAAUCAUUUGUCUUUUAAUUGAAGGCUCGUAUGAAUGGUUUGAUGAAAUAUAAACUUUCUUUUAAUUAUUUUUUUGAAUUUAAUAUUUUAGUUAAAAAGCUAAAAUAUUUUUAUAGGACGAGAAGACCCUAUAGAAGUUUACUAAUUUUAUAAAAUUAUAUAUUUUGAUUUUAAAUUAUUUUUUUAAAAGAAUGAGUUUUAUUGGGGUGAUAUUAAAAUUAAAUUAACUUUUAAUUAAUUUUUUCAUUAAUUUAUGUUUUUUUGAUCCAAAAUUUUUGAUUAAAAGAUUAACUUACCUUAGGGAUAACAGCGUAAUUUAUUUGGAGAGUUCAUAUCGAUGAAUAAGUUUGCGAC
rnacentral:rRNA from 1 species